AGAAAAAGAAGAAAGACCUAAAUAAUCUCUUCUCUACCCAAGGGUGAGAGAGUCAAGAGGGUUUUCAUUUUGAUAAAAGAGAGUGUUUUAGUUAGAGCAUGCACAUCCCGUUUUCACACCGAUGAGGAACACGUGGCUAAUAAAAUAUCGGAAGGUCCAAAUCAAACCAACUCAAAAUAUAAUUUCUCUCUCUUUACCAAACUCAAACCCAAACCCUACAGCAGCCUCCCUGCCAAACCCACCACAUCUCUACCUCAAAUCCAUCUGAGUGAGCAAUGGACCCGGCCCACCCGAAAAACCGACCGAACUGAGAGGUUAUGGACGGGUCUGAGGAUAUUCGAGUCGGAUUUCGGGUCUUAUUUUCGGGUUAGGGUCGAUAUCGGGUCGGGCUAAGGGUCAUAUAAAAACAGUAGUCUGAACCCCAUUUUUUCUUUGGAAAAAAGCCCUACUCUCUGUUUCUCUCCGCCUCCCUCAAGCCUCAGCUACCUCCCUCAGCUCUCCGUCUCUGUGUUUUUAACUAAAGAGCUGCGCUCCUCUGCCUCUCUCACUGAGUUCUCUCUACGUGUGUAACAGUAAUCGAAGAACAAGGACCAAUGAACUGUGGUGAUCAAUCAGCUUGUUGUUGAUUUGGAAAAGGACCUUCCAUAGAAGCAAAGGUUUCUCGUUAUCUGACCUUGAAGUAGAAACACAGGACGAGGAUGAGGUAGCAUACAUAUAUGUGAAAUUCAAUUAGAUAGAAUGCUAACAGCAUGUUUGGAGUGACAUUGAUUUCGUUCUCUGGCUCUAUAUUAUUAAAUUAUUUUGUUUUGGGGAUAGUCUUGUGUACUGUCCUUUUUAUGCAGGGAAUUCUUAGUCUUUGUUAUAGGAGAUUGUGGGAUUAAGAUUUUCUUGAAACCUUUCCUACCUGGUAUUAAGAUUAUGUCCUCUUGGCAGCAUUUUUGUGUCUGAAGCUCUAGGCUUUUUCCCUUUAGAUGGAAUAUGGUCCCAUUCUUGGACAGGAGGCAUGUGAGGGAAAAAGAGGGGAGGGAACAUACCAUUUCAUCAUGGCAACUUAAAUGUGUCAUUUGGUUUUUUAUCUCAACAAAUCUUCCCUAUCUUUUCCCCCUUAAGCAAAAGGAAUGACAUAAAAGUGUUUAGUAUUUGGAAGUUUUCUCCUUAUUUAUCGCUUGAUUUAAUAUGGUCAUGGAAUUUUAAAUACUUGAUAUUUACAGGUGUAUAUAGACAUGGCAAUACGAGUCAGAAUUUUCUAAUCCAAUCCAAACCCGAUUUUUUUUUUACCUGAAGCAAAAAUAGGUUGACCCAUGACCCAACCCGACCCGGAUAACUCAUGACCCGAAUCGUUAAAAAAAUUCGCUAAAAAAAUAUUUUAAUUACGUUCUAAUACUAGAUGCAUAAAGCACAAAGUACCAAAAUUAAUAAUUAAUAUAUUAGAGAAAAUGACUAUUUAAUUCAUCAAAAGUACCACCAAGCAAGCAAAAAAAAAAAAAAAAAAAAUCAUCAUCAAAAUUUCCAAUAAGAGCUAGGUAGCCUAGCUUCUGUGCUUGCCAAUUGCCUACAACACAUUAGUGACGUUACACAAAACAAAGGCCAAGGUUGUCAAAUUACCUUGAGUCUUGAGUCCUCUGACUUAGAGAUUUUUGGUUUAAACAUCUUUCCCUUCCUUUUAGUGAUGCUAGGUUCCGUUUCUUUUUUUUUUUUUU